rnacentral:rRNA from 1 species
UACGUAGGGGGCAAGCGUUGGUCCGGAUUUACUGGGCGUAAAGAGCGUGUAGGCGGCCACGCAGGUCCGUUGUGAAAACUGGAGGCUCAACCUUCAGACGUCGACGGAAACCGUGUGGCUAGAGUCCGGAAGAGGAGAGUGGAAUUCCGUGGUGUAGCGGUGAAAUGCGCAGAUAUCAGGAAGAACACAAUGGCGAAGGCAGCUCCUCUGGGAACGGUACUGACGGCUGAGACGGCGAAAGCGUUGGGGGAGCGAAACAGGGAUUAAGAAACCCC